CUCCGGUUGAUCCCGCCGGACCCGACUGCUAUCAGAGUGGGACUAAGCCAUGCGAGUCAACAUAGCAAUAUGUGGCAUACGGCUCAGUAACACGUAGUCAACAUGCCCAGGGGACGUGGAUAACCUCGGGAAACUGAGGAUAAACCGCGAUAAGUCACUACUUCUGGAAUGGGUAAUGACUCAAAUCUACAUGGCCCCUGGAUUGGACUGCGGCCGAUCAGGCUGUUGGUGAGGUAAUGGCCCACCAAACCUGUAACCGGUACGGGCUCUGAGAGGAGGAGCCCGGAGAUGGGCACUGAGACAAGGGCCCAGGCCCUAUGGGGCGCAGCAGGCGCGAAACCUCUGCAAUAGGCGAAAGCCUGACAGGGUUACUCUGAGUGAUUUCCGUUAAGGAGAUCUUUUGGCACCUCUAAAAAUGGUGCAGAAUAAGGGGUGGGCAAGUCUGGUGUCAGCCGCCGCGGUAAUACCAGCACCCCGAGUGGUCGGGACGUUUAUUGGGCCUAAAGCAUCCGUAGCCGGUUCUACAAGUCUUCCGUUAAAUCCACCUGCUUAACAGAUGGGCUGCGGAAGAUACUAUAGAGCUAGGAGGCGGGAGAGGCAAGCGGUACUCGAUGGGUAGGGGUAAAAUCCGUUGAUCCAUUGAAGACCACCAGUGGCGAAGGCGGCUUGCCAGAACGCGCUCGACGGUGAGGGAUGAAAGCUGAGGGAGCAAACCGGAUUAGAUACCCGGGUAGUCCCAGCUGUAAACGAUGCAGACUCGGUGAUGAGUUGGCUUAUUGCUAACUCAGUGCCGCAGGGAAGCCGUUAAGUUUGCCGCCUGGGGAGUACGGUCGCAAGACUGAAACUUAAAGGAAUUGGCGGGGGAAGCA
rnacentral:rRNA from 1 species